GUGCCAGCCGCCGCGGUAAUACGGAGGAUCCGAGCGUUAUCCGGAUUUACUGGGUUUAAAGGGUGCGUAGGCGGCCCAACAAGUCAGCGGUGAAAUGUGGCGGCUCAACCGUUUCGCUGCCGCUGAUACUGCUGGGCUUGGAUUCGGUCGAGGCGGGUGGAAUUCGUGGUGUAGCGGUGAAAUGCAUAGAUAUCACGAGGAACGCCGAUAGCGAAGGCAGCUCGCCGGGCCGCGAUCGACGCUGAGGCACGAAAGCGUGGGGAUCAAACAGGAUUAGAUACCCUGGUAGUCCACGCCGUAAACGAUGAUGGCUGGGUGUUCGUCCGUAAGGGCGAGCGCCUGAGGGAAACCAUUAAGCCAUCCACCUGGGGAGUACGGCCGCAAGGCUGAAACUUAAAUGAAUUGACGGGG
rnacentral:rRNA from 1 species